ensembl:ncRNA R160.8 ncRNA
AGAAAAUGUGAAAAAUGCAAUGAAAACCAAAGAAAAAAACAAGACAAAAAACCAAUCGGUUUCCUUUAGUUGACCAAGUUCAGCAAAAUCGACGGACCAAAACUGGUCCGAUAGAGCGCCCUUCAAAAGAGUCGCGCGGUGCGGUCGCGUCGCAGUCCUCCUCAUCCUUCAUUCGCCGGGGGUUGUUUCGUCAUAUGUUUGUGGAUAGACGAAGAGAGUGCAGAGAGAGCAGAGAGUGAGAAGAGACGACAUAGACGGGCAGACGGCGGGUACCUCUUGCCUCGUCUCUCUGACGCGACACCGCUUCCCGCUUGUAUUUCUUUGGGUGUCUCUGUCUCGU